GCCGGACAUUCCACGGUCUCCCGGAGACCAAGCUGAGGGCCUUCGGGGAAGGUCUUCCUCCUUGGCUGGAGGGAACAUGGCAGGGAGCAGAGGAGUGACCCUGUUUGUCCUGCUGCUGUCCUGCUGGCGAGAAGCCAGGCUCCAACCAGUAAAAAUAUUUUCAGGUCGCACCACUUUAACGCCAUCAAAUUUAAAAAUUCUGGACGACAACGUGGCUGGAGUAUUUGAUGAAAUUCUAGUCCAGGAGAUCUUGGAUCCAAGUAAUUCAUCGUUGCUUAUAACACAAAGACCACCACCAAAAUCAACAGCGAAUAUGAGGAA